AUAAAAGAUUUAGACCUCCACUGAAAUGUUCAUGAUUACACAGAGGUUACCCAACUUUGCGUGACAGGCAGGCGUCACGUGUCCAAGGGAGGGGAGGAGUGAAGGGAGGGUCAGCGGAGGAAUACAGGUUGGGAGGAACGAAGGGGAAGCAGAUGGAGGAGAUCCACUCACAGGAUUCUGCGUUGUUGAUUUGUGUGUGGAAGUAUCGUGGGUUUUGCCUGCCUCCAUUGUUGCUCGUCUGCUGAAAUAAGUUGUACCCCAGCAGGCCCCUCUUCAGGUCCAGCGGGUUCUCUGGCCAAUUUGAUGCUGAAUCGAGUUAGUCUAAUUUCUUCAACGAACUUCAAUAUUUUUACUACAAAGUGACAAAGUA